rnacentral:rRNA from 1 species
AUGGCGACGGCAUCAAGCAAGGUUGUGGUGCUCAUGGCGUUCAUGGCCGCUGCGCUGAGCUCUGUGUCGAUGGCCGCUGGGCCCGCCGGGCUGCAGCACGGUUUCUACAACUCGUCGUGCCCAAAAGCCGAGGACACGGUGAGGAACGUCGUCCAAGGCAUGAUCCGCAAUGACCCCACCAUGGGCGCCGCCUUUGUUCGCCUCUUCUUCCACGAUUGCUUUGUCAGGGGUUGCGAUGCCUCCAUUCUGCUGGACCCGACGACCAGCAAGCCAGAGACUGAGAAAACAACAAUCCCUCUACGCGGAUACGAUGCCGUGAACAAGAUCAAGGACGCCGUGGAGGCCGUCUGCCCGGGCGUUGUCUCCUGUGCGGACAUCCUGGCCUUUGCUGCACGUGACUCCACCCGCGCCUCAGGCGGGUUCACCUUCCACAUGCCAUCCGGUCGCCUGGACGGCUUCCAGUCAAUCGCCGACGAGGUCUUCCAGGGCAUCCCAUCCCCCGCGUUUCAGCUCCAAGAACUCCUUGAUAGCUUCGCCGCCAAGGGCCUCAACGCCGAGGACCUAGUGGUCCUCUCCGGCGCGCACUCCUUCGGCCUCACGCACUGCAACUUCGUCACCCCACGGUUGUACCCCACUAUCGACCCCAGUAUGAACGCCACCUUUGCGGCGGCACUAAAGAAGGUGUGCCCGCCUCCGAGGAACGGCGGGGGGUUCAUCUCCGUGAGCAACAACCGUGUGACGGACCCGAACAAGCUGAGCAACCAGUUCUACAAAAACGUGGCCUCUGGGCAGGUGUUGUUCACGUCGGACCAGACGCUACUGGAUGAGACGCCGACGACCGGCAACAAGACAGCGGCCAUGGUGGCCGACAACGCCGCCAACCCUAUCGCGUGGAUGGUCAGGUUUGCGGCGGCUUUGGUGAAGAUGGGAGGCAUUGAGGUGCUCACUGGGACCGACCCCGGCGAAGUCAGAAAGGUCUGCUUCGCCACCAACAACGCGAGCUAG